rnacentral:lncRNA from 1 species
AGAUGGUGGAAUUGCACUGAACAGGCCCAAAAGGAAUAUACGUCCACCAGAGCGGUAUGGCUUCGAGGAAUCUGUUUCAUAUUCUUUGGUGACGAUAAAUAGAGACCCAUAUACCUAUGAGAAGGCAAUGGAGAGCCGUGACAGUGAUAGAUGGAUUCAGGCAAUAUCCGAGGAGAUGCAGUCACUACACAAGAAUCAAACUUGAUAGUUAGUAUAGCUGCC